rnacentral:rRNA from 1 species
GACGCUGGCGGCAGGCUUAACCAUGCAAGUCGAGCGGGGGAAGGAGCUUGCUACCGGACCUAGCGGCGGACGGGUGAGUAAUGCUUAGGAAUCUGCCUAUUAGUGGGGGACAACAUCUCGAAAGGGAUGCUAAUACCGCAUACGUCCUACGGGAGAAAGCAGGGGAUCUUCGGACCUUGCGCUAAUAGAUGAGCCUAAGUCGGAUUAGCUAGUUGGUGGGGUAAAGGCCUACCAAGGCGACGAUCUGUAGCGGGUCUGAGAGGAUGAUCCGCCACACUGGGACUGAGACACGGCCCAGACUCCUACGGGAGGCAGCAGUGGGGAAUAUUGGACAAUGGGGGGAACCCUGAUCCAGCCAUGCCGCGUGUGUGAAGAAGGCCUUAUGGUUGUAAAGCACUUUAAGCGAGGAGGAGGCUACUUUAGUUAAUACCUAGAGAUAGUGGACGUUACUCGCAGAAUAAGCACCGGCUAACUCUGUGCCAGCAGCNGGG